rnacentral:lncRNA from 1 species
UGGCCCGUGAAUAAUCUACUAGUAUACUGAUUAAACAUGUAUAUGGUAUUUCAAAUUGUUCUCUAUUUUUUUUUUCAUUUGUUUGUUUUUGCCGUAUUUAUUCUGUCUGCUAUAUUUUUUACUUCUAAUGUAAUAGCGUAUUUUCAACUCUUUUCAGUUUGGGAUUUUUUCAUCCUUUUAAUUUUAAAAAGACAAAUAAUUGUGAACACUUCACGGAAAAGUGAGGAUUGAUAUUUGGUUGCUUAACGUCCAGUUGCCAAUACUUCAUUCAUUUUUCUAAUGUUAAGAACUAUGCCAUUUAUCAAUAUUUCGAUUUGAGCGUUACUGAUGAGUCUUGUGUAGACGAAACG